GACCACAGAAAAAGUAGCCAGCCCACCAUCCCUAGAUGAUUUUGCAGUCUUUGCACACCAGUGUGGCCAUAGGCUUGUUUUCUCCUGGACUGAGCCUGCAGAUCCUAUGAGCAAGCAUAUGUCCUGUGCUCCACUAGUCCUAGCUGGAUCGUGGACAUAUUACCAUCAUUACAAAUAUCAAUAGUUUGUGAUUACUUCAAACAAUCUGAAGUUGAAGGACCCCAGAUAUCCUUCAAAACAGGAAUCUGCAGGCAGAUGCUGAAACCAUGAAUACAGAGGGACAACUAUGCUCCGGCCCUGAACGCAGGAGAGUUGCUAAAGAAGUUGCUCACAGAGGCGGGAGAGAGCAGGCUACUGGUUUCCUUCAAAAUGGAAUAGGAAACAGAAAACGUGGUGAACAUCAUUUCUUCGCACUUGAAUCAGCAACAUGACACAGGACUUUGGCAUCAGACUACUAUCACACCAAAAAAAGAGGCUUCACUUGGAGUGCUGCCACUGGAUGGGGCCUGACUUGUUUAUCCGGAAAGAAGUGACUUCCCUGGGAAGAAGGUUGCAUUUGUGAAAGCUUGUGCAGCAUUUCAAGGCUGCAUUCAGGGGCUCUGACCUCCAGUGUCAGCCUUCCAAGGAGAGAAUGGUAGUGUAAUCAUGACUGGAGAGCAACUGUUCCAGAUAAGAAUAUUUUGGCAGAUUUUAAAAGCAACUAUUACUGGUGUUGAUUGACUUAAAAAUAUUUUAAAAAUAUAACAUGUUAUAAACCUCUUCAAUAUCAAGAGGCAGGAU
rnacentral:lncRNA from 1 species